rnacentral:rRNA from 1 species
AGUGAACGCUGGCGGUAGGCCUAACACAUGCAAGUCGAACGGCAGCACAGUAAGAGCUUGCUCUUACGGGUGGCGAGUGGCGGACGGGUGAGGAAUACAUCGGAAUCUACUUUUUCGUGGGGGAUAACGUAGGGAAACUUACGCUAAUACCGCAUACGACCUACGGGUGAAAGCAGGGGAUCUUCGGACCUUGCGCGAUUGAAUGAGCCGAUGUCGGAUUAGCUAGUUGGCGGGGUAAAGGCCCACCAAGGCGACGAUCCGUAGCUGGUCUGAGAGGAUGAUCAGCCACACUGGAACUGAGACACGGUCCAGACUCCUAAGGGAGGCAGCAGUGGGGAAUAUUGGACAAUGGGCGCAAGCCUGAUCCAGCCAUACCGCGUGGGUGAAGAAGGCCUUCGGGUUGCAAAGCCCUUUUGUUGGGAAAGAAAAGCAGCAGGUUAAUACCCCGCUGUCCUGACGGUACCCAAAGAAUAAGCACCGGCUAACUUCGUG